ACGUAGGGUGCAAGCGUUAAUCGGAAUUACUGGGCGUAAAGCGUGCGCAGGCGGUUUUGUAAGACAGAGGUGAAAUCCCCGGGCUCAACCUGGGAACUGCCUUUGUGACUGCAAGGCUGGAGUGCGGCAGAGGGGGAUGGAAUUCCGCGUGUAGCAGUGAAAUGCGUAGAGAUCCGGUGGAACACCAGAGGCGAAGGCGACACCCUGGGCCGUACCUGACGCUAAGACGCGACAGCACGGGGAGCGAACGG
rnacentral:rRNA from 1 species